AUUGAACGCUGGCGGCGUGCUUAACACAUGCAAGUCGAGCGGUAACAGGUGUAGCAAUACAUGCUGACGAGCGGCGAACGGGUGAGUAAUGCUUUGGAAUCUUCCCAGUAGUGGGGAAUAACCAGUCGAAAGAUUGGCUAAUACCGCAUACGUCUGUAAAGGGAAAGCGGGGACUCGCCUCUUCUUCGGAAGAGAGGCCUCGCGCUAUUGGAUGAGCCAAAGCGGAUUAGCUAGUUGGUGGGGUAAGUGGCCUACCAAGGCGACAAUCCGUAGCUGGUCUGAGAGGACGACCAGCCACACCGGAACUGAGACACGGUCCGGA
rnacentral:rRNA from 1 species